GACGUAGGGCGCGAGCGUUGUCCGGAUUUAUUGGGCGUAAAGAGCUCGUAGGCGGCUUGUCGCGUCGUUCGUGAAAACUUGGGGCUUAACUCCAAGCGUGCGGGCGAUACGGGCAGACUUGAGUACUACAGGGGAGACUGGAAUUCCUGGUGUAGCGGUGAAAUGCGCAGAUAUCAGGAGGAACACCGGUGGCGAAGGCGGGUCUCUGGGUAGUAACUGACGCUGAGGAACGAAAGCGUGGGUAGCGAACAGG
rnacentral:rRNA from 1 species